GCGCUCGUAGCUCAGCUGGAUGCGGUACCUGGCUGCGAACCAGGCGGCCGUAGGCUCGAGUCCUACCGAGCGCACCA
rnacentral:tRNA from 1 species